rnacentral:rRNA from 1 species
GAUGAACGCUAGCGGCAGGCUUAAUACAUGCAAGUCGAGGGGUAACAGGUCUGUAGCAAUACAGAUGCUGACGACCGGCAAACGGGUGCGGAACACGUACAGAACCUUCCUUCGAGUGGGAGAUAGCCCAGGGAAACUUGGAGUAAUAUCCCAUAGGAUCAUAGAGUGGCAUCACUCAGUGAUUAAAGAUUUAUCGCUUGAAGAUGGCCGUGCGGCUGAUUAGGUAGUUGGUGUAGGUAACGGCUCACCAAGCCUUCGAUCAGUAACUGGUGUGAGAGCACGACCAGUCACACGGGCACUGAGACACGGGCCCGACUCCUACGGGAGGCAGCAGUAAGGAAUAUUGGGCAAUGGAGGCAACUCUGACCCAGCCAUGCCGCGUGGAGGAUGAAGGUCCUCUGGAUUGUAAACUUCUUUUAUUUGGGAAGAAAUGCCGAUUUUCUAAUUGGUUUGACGGUACCAGAUGAAUAAGCACCGGCUAACUCCGUGCCAGCAGCCGCAGUAAGAC